rnacentral:rRNA from 1 species
GAUGAACGCUAGCGGCAGGCCUCAUACAUGCAAGUCGAGGGGCAGCAUGGCACUUCGGUGCUGAUAGCGACCGGCGCACGGGUGAGUAACGCGUAUACAAUCUGCCUUAUACUGGGGAAUAGCUUCUGGAAACGGAAAGUAAUACCCCAUAUUAUUCUUUUGAUGCAUGUCAUUAGAAUGAAAGCUCCGGCGGUAUAAGAUGAGUAUGCGUCCUAUUAGCUUGUUGGUGAGGUAACGGCUCACCAAGGCGACGAUGGGUAGGGGGUCUGAGAGGAUUGUCCCCCACACUGGCACUGAGAUACGGGCCAGACUCCUACGGGAGCAGCAGUAGGGAAUAUUGGUCAAUGGGCGCAAGCCUGAACCAGCCAUGCCGCGUGCAGGAUUGAAGGUCCUUUAGGAUUGUAAACUGCUUUUUAUGGGUAGC